GGAAUAAGCAAGAAGAGAGGAUGGAAGGAGGAAAAGCCGAGAGGAAGGAAGAGAGUUUGGAAGCUGCUGAGAAGGAGAAAAGGAGAGACCGAGAGAGUGGAGGGAAUGGAGGCACAAUGAAAUAACUGGAGGGAGUAUUGGACGGUUACGGGCAAGCCACUGCAAAGAAAGGAGAAGUUUUUAGAGAGGUAUGGACCAGAAAAAGAGGAGCUGCAAUGAAGAAAAGGAAAGUGGAAGAAGAUAGGAUCAUUGACUAUCACAGAUGGCGAGGAGGUUCGUUUGGAAGCAGCUUUGGAGGAAGAU
rnacentral:sRNA from 1 species